rnacentral:rRNA from 1 species
GACGAACGCUGGCGGCGUGCUUAACACAUGCAAGUCGAACGGAAAGGCCCUGCUUUUGUGGGGUGCUCGAGUGGCGAACGGGUGAGUAACACGUGAGUAACCUGCCCUUGACUUUGGGAUAACUUCAGGAAACUGGGGCUAAUACCGGAUAGGAGCUCCUGCUGCAUGGUGGGGGUUGGAAAGUUUCGGCGGUUGGGGAUGGACUCGCGGCUUAUCAGCUUGUUGGUGGGGUAGUGGCUUACCAAGGCUUUGACGGGUAGCCGGCCUGUGAGGGUGACCGGCCACAAUGGGACUGAGGUACGGCCCAGACGCCAACGGGAGGCAGCAGUGGGGAAUAUUGCACAAUGGGCGGAAGCGUGAUGAAGCAACGCCGCGUGCGGGAUGACGGCCUUCGGGUUGAAAACAGCUUUCGCCUGAGACGAAGCGUGAGUGACGGUAAUGGGUAAAGAAGCACCGGCUAACUACGUG